rnacentral:tRNA from 1 species
UCCCCGGUAGCUCAGUUGGUAGAGCACUCGCCUGUUAAGCGAAAGCGCACUGGUUCGAUGCCAGUCCGGGGAG